GUCCUCAUCGUCCAGGGGUUAGGACGCUGGCCUUUCAAGCCGGCAACAGGGGUUCGAAUCCCCUUGAGGACA
rnacentral:tRNA from 1 species